rnacentral:rRNA from 1 species
AGUGAACGCUGGCGGUAGGCCUAACACAUGCAAGUCGAACGGCAGCACAGUAAGAGCUUGCUCUUACGGGUGGCGAGUGGCGGACGGGUGAGGAAUACAUCGGAAUCUACUUUUUCGUGGGGGAUAACGUAGGGAAACUUACGCUAAUACCGCAUACGACCUACGGGUGAAAGCAGGGGAUCUUCGGACCUUGCGCGAUUGAAUGAGCCGAUGUCGGAUUAGCUAGUUGGCGGGGUAAAGGCCCACCAAGGCGACGAUCCGUAGCUGGUCUGAGAGGAUGAUCAGCCACACUGGAACUGAGACACGGUCCAGACUCCUACGGGAGGCAGCAGUGGGGAAUAUUGGACGAUGGGCGAAAGCCUGAUCCAGCCAUACCGCGUGGGUGAAGAAGGCCUUCGGGUUGUAAAGCACUUUUGUUGGGAAAGAAAAGCAGCAGGUUAAUACCCCGCUGUUCUGACGGUACCCAAAGAAUAAGCACCGGCUAACUUCGUG